GACGAACGCUGGCGGCGUGCCUAAUACAUGCAAGUAGAACGCAGUUGCGAACGGGUGAGUAACGCGUAGGUAACUGCCUCAUAGCGGGGGAUAACUAUUGGAAACGAUAGCUAAUACCACAUACUGUGAGCUGGACCUGCGUUGGAUUAGCUAGUUGGUGAGGUAAAGGCUCACCAAGGCGACGAUACAUAGCCGACCUGAGAGGGUGGUCCGCCACACUGGGACUUGGACACGGCCCAGACUCCUACGGGAGGGAGCAGUAGGGAAUCUUCGGCAAUGGACGGAAGUCUGACCGAGCAACGCCGCGGGAGUGAAGAAGGUUUUCGGAGCGUAAAGCUCUGUUGUUAGAGAAGCGUUAACUAACCAGAAAGGGACGGCUAACUACGUGCCAGCCGCCGCGGUAAUUC
rnacentral:rRNA from 1 species